rnacentral:rRNA from 1 species
CUCCUUCGGGAGGGGAUUAGUGGCGAACGGGUGAGUAACACGUGGGCAAUCUGCCCUGCACUCUGGGACAAGCCCUGGAAACGGGGUCUAAUACCGGAUACUGAUCAUCUUGGGCAUCCUUGGUGAUCGAAAGCUCCGGCGGUGCAGGAUGAGCCCGCGGCCUAUCAGCUUGUUGGUGAGGUAAUGGCUCACCAAGGCGACGACGGGUAGCCGGCCUGAGAGGGCGACCGGCCACACUGGGACUGAGACACGGCCCAGACUCCUACGGGAGGCAGCAGUGGGGAAUAUUGCACAAUGGGCGAAAGCCUGAUGCAGCGACGCCGCGUGAGGGAUGACGGCCUUCGGGUUGUAAACCUCUUUCAGCAGGGAAGAAGCGAAAGUGACGGUACCUGCAGAAGAAGCGCCGGCUAACUACGUGCCAGCAGCCGCGGUAAUACGUAGGGCGCGAGCGUUGUCCGGAAUUAUUGGGCGUAAAGAGCUCGUAGGCGGCUUGUCGCGUCGGUUGUGAAAGCCCGGGGCUUAACCCCGGGUCUGCAGUCGAUACGGGCAGGCUAGAGUUCGGUAGGGGAGAUCGGAAUUCCUGGUGUAGCGGUGAAAUGCGCAGAUAUCAGGAGGAACACCGGUGGCGAAGGCGGAUCUCUGGGCCGAUACUGACGCUGAGGAGCG